CAAUUCUGGUUGAUCCUGCCAGAGGCCACUGCUAUCCGGCUGGGACUAAGCCAUGCGAGUCCAGGGGCUUGCCGCAAGGCAAGCACCGGCGGACGGCUCAGUAACACGUGGACAACCUGCCCUCGGGAGGGGGAUAACCCCGGGAAACUGGGGCUAAACCC
rnacentral:rRNA from 1 species